UGUAGUUGGUUCUUUUGAAUCUGUUCGGAUAGAUUAUAAAUGCGGACAAAUAGAUGUCUUUGUAAAAAUAAUGUGGGCUGUAUGGCAUUUUGUUUAUUUGUUUAUGAUGGCACCUCCAAUGGGUCCAAAAGACUUGUGUAUCUUCAUUUUCCAAGCAAUAAACAUGCUUGAUCAUAUAAAUAGCUGACGCAACAACUUUCAUUGGCUGGUGUACCAUAGCAGGGAACCGCGUACUCUCGUUUCGUACAGUUAAUCUGUCAGCACAGCAGCUUAACCUUGGCAUGUCGUAUAAAAUCAUAUUCAGUCAUGCAUUUGCAAAGAUUGAUUAGUGUAAUAUGAUACCAUCAUGGUACUUUGUCAUUGUGUUUUAACUCUGCAAGAAUUUUAGAGUAUUCCCCCCUCUAGUUACCAGCUGGUCCUAGCAGUUUUAUUAUGGUCUGUAUGUGCAUCAUUUGCAUCCUUUGGCAUUCAAGGUUUUCAAAAGCACUCUGCGAUAAUAAAACUAAUUUGCAUACUGAUCGUAUUUUCAGUUAUUCCCGUGUUCCUACUAUUUUUGCCUUCCUUUUUGUUAACUUCCCUAUUUUCAGUUUUGCUAUGUUUAUACUGCAAAUGCAUCGAUAGGGUUAGCAGACACUUUCUGCCAGUACUGCGUGUCUGCGGUCUGUUGAGCAUUAUGCUGACAUUUUAUGCUCUUUGUUUUUGCCCGCAGUACAAUGGCAACGAGGAGGGUGAUCCUGUGGACUUGUAGACUGGUGGUGGGUGACAGAUUUGAGCAGUAAAGGAGUUAGAUUGAAACAUUGAAUGGAGGAAAACCUGGGUCGCUUUGAAACUCGGUGCUUUUGCUAUAUCAUAUCCAGUUCUUUAUACAUCGGGCGGUUGAAGCUCAGUUCAGCGCCCCCGUAGCUUUACUCUGCAGCGGUUAACUUAUAUGAAGACAUGUUAUACUAUUGCCGAAACAUAUUUUGCCUCAUAGGGGAGUUCUCUUCUUAAUAUCGCCGGACCUCGAAGCUGCUACCUGAGCUUGUAUGGAACGUAUGACAGCCCUUCCUGAUACUGUUUAGAGGUUUUGACACCCCUCGUAUGUUCACGCUGCUGCUAUUUUAUAGGCCUACUUGUGUCUGUGGAAGUGGAGUGCAUUAUAUCAUAUGCCACCUAUAUUUGCAAUGUCAUGCCAAUUUGGUCCCUGGACUUGAGGGUUACACAUUUAUUGUCUCUGUGCUAAAUUUAUGCAUAUGAAACUAUAAAUAGGCCAACCAGGAUCCAAAUCCUACUUUAUUGGGUAACUGGUGAUGACAUAGC
rnacentral:lncRNA from 1 species